rnacentral:rRNA from 1 species
GUUGAAGGACUCCGCUUUCGGGUGGAGAGCGUACAAGGUGCUGCAUGGUUGUCGUCAGCUCGUGCCGUGAGGUGUCGGGUUAAGUCCCAUAACGAGCGCAACCCUAUCAUUAGUUGCCAUCAGGUCAAGCUGGGGACUCUAAUGAAACUGCCUACGCAAGUAGUGAGGAAGGUGGGGAUGACGUCAAAUCAGCACGGCCCUUACGUCCAGGGCUACACACGUGCUACAAUGGCCGGUACAAAGGGCAGCUACCUGGUGACAGGAUGCUAAUCUCAAAAGCCGGUCUCAGUUCGGAUCGGAGUCUGCAACCCGACUCCGUGAAGUUGGAUUCGCUAGUAAUCGCGCAUCAGCCAUGGCGCGGUGAAUACGUUCCCGGGCCUU